rnacentral:rRNA from 1 species
GUGGGGAAUCUUGCGCAAUGGGCGAAAGCCUGACGCAGCCAUGCCGCGUGAAUGAUGAAGGUCUUAGGAUUGUAAAAUUCUUUCACCGGGGACGAUAAUGACGGUACCCGGAGAAGAAGCUCCGGCUAACUUCGUGCCAGCAGCCGCGGUAAUACGAAGGGGGCUAGCGUUGCUCGGAAUUACUGGGCGUAAAGGGCGCGUAGGCGGACAGCUUAGUCAGAGGUGAAAGCCCAGGGCUCAACCUUGGAAUUGCCUUUGAUACUGGCUGUCUUGAGUUUGGGAGAGGUGAGUGGAACUCCGAGUGUAGAGGUGAAAUUCGUAGAUAUUCGGAAGAACACCAGUGGCGAAGGCGACUCACUGGCCCGUUACUGACGCUGAGGCGCGAAAGCGUGGGGAGCAAACAGGAUUAGAUACCCGAGUAGUCC